GCAGUUCUUGUCAAACCUUGCUUGAUUCACGGUAAUUUGAAAGAUGUCGCGAAUAUGGUUGUUCAAAAGUAUUCAUUGCAUGGGACAGUAACCGGAUCGGACGUCAGAUGGUGUUUUACCUUCCUUAAUAACCCGGUUUAAGAACUCACUGAGCCACAGCGUGUAUUCCCAGCUGUUCGCUUUCCGAAGCUCAGAUGCGAUGUCUGCAGGUCCUGUUGCUUUUCCUGAUUUUAUUUGUUUGAUUGCUUCCUUGUCUUUUAGUGGCGCUGACAGAUGGAAUUGCUCCAAAUAUCGGCAAUGGUUGUAGAAGUGGAGAAUUAAUUAAUUGUUUUGCUGAAAUCUGCUCGACAUAUUCCCGCCAUCUAAACGUUGCGGCUCGUCGAUCGGAGUUCCACGUUCUGCAAUACGAUGAAUAUGUUGACGAAGAAAAAAAGAAAAUAUUCCCAAGCACAAGUAAUGGCGAAUAUACCGCCAUACUUUACGUAAAAUACAUAGCGGACACCAACAGCCCACCCUAGCCG